AAAUAAAAAAAAUAAGGGGGGAAAAGCGCAGGCGGGCGGCGCUCCAGGGAGCGGCUGGCGCGGCUCCAGCAGACGUGCAGGGCCGGCCCCGUCCCGCCGCCAGGAGCCCAAGCGGGGCCGGGGCACGCGAGGCUGCCGCUUUUUUUUUCCAUUUUCUUUCUUUUUUCCCUUUUCCCGGUGAAAUCCCCCCGAACAAGGCCUAACCGCCCUCCUCCCCGCGGUUUCUGGUGCUCCCUCGCCGCCGGGCGCCGCGCAGAGGCUCCUUUCACGGCACGGGGCCGGGAUCCAGAAAAUCCCUCGCGGGCGACGCCGCCGGGGCUCGGCCGCGUCUCCUCCCCGCGCCGCCGGGCGACCGAGCCCUGGGGGGCUCCCGCUUCCCGCCCCCCCCCCCCCAAAUUAAUUCAUCUGACCCCAAAAACUCGGGCUCCUGGCGCGGCGAGGGCGACGCGGGGGGGACGGAAAGCGGGGCGAGGAGCGGGUAAGGCAUGGAGGGAGCGGGCAGGGUGCGGCGCGGCGAGGGCGCGCGCGGUUUCACGGCGGUUCCCCCGCGACUCGUGGCACUUUGCAGCGGCGUCUGGCGAAGGUUCGGCCUCAGGCACAGUGAUCGGGCUCCCGCGAGAGGGCACAAACCGGAGCAGGGGGGGGGGGGGGAAAACGACGAAAAGCCACGAGAAGAGGGUUCGGAAACCCGCGCCGACGGGCGAAGCCGGUCGAGGCCGGGGGCGGACGGAGCCGGCGCCCGGCGCGGCCCCGAGCACGAGGAGGAGCGGGGCGAGGAGCACGGGGGGCGAGGGGGGGGACGCGCCCGCCCGAGCACUUGGUGAGAGCCGGGGGGAAAUCCCCCCCCUUUGCCGCGGGAGGCCGCCGAGGAGAAAACCACGGCGGAGGCGCCGCGGCCGCUCCGAAUUCGCCGCUGCCCCGUGGCGACGCCGCGGCUCCGCGCCCCGCCGGCCGCCCCCGUUCGCUGUAAACUUUCCCCCCGUGAGUAGUGUUUGCGUCCCCCUUCUCGCUUCGCCCCGGCCGGCCGGCGAGGGUCCAAAAGCCCGCGGGGGAUGCGGAAAUAACUUAGAGGAGGGGCGCCCAAUUUCGCCUUGGGGGGGGCGGGGGGGGCAGCGACUGCAGAGUCCUCUUUGGCCUCCCGCUGGUUCGACUC
rnacentral:lncRNA from 1 species